CCACGGCUAACUACGUGCCAGCAGCCGCGGUAAUACGUAGGUGGCAAGCGUUAUCCGGAUUUAUUGGGCGUAAAGCGAGCGCAGGCGGUCUUUUAAGUCUAAUGUGAAAGCCUUCGGCUUAACCGAAGAAGUGCAUUGGAAACUGGGAGACUUGAGUGCAGAAGAGGAGAGUGGAACUCCAUGUGUAGCGGUGAAAUGCGUAGAUAUAUGGAAGAACACCAGUGGCGAAGGCGGCUCUCUGGUCUGCAACUGACGCUGAGGCUCGAAAGCAUGGGUAGCGAACAGGAUUAGAUACCCUGGUAGUCCAUGCCGUAAACGAUGAAUGCUAAGUGUUGGAGGGUUUCCGCCCUUCAGUGCUGCAGCUAACGCAUUAAGCAUUCCGCCUGGGGAGUACGACCGCAAGGUUGAAACUCAAAAGAAUUGACGGGGGCCCGCACAAGCGGUGGAGCAUGUGGUUUAAUUCGAAGCUACGCGAAGAACCUUACCAGGUCUUGACAUCUUCUGCUAACCUAAGAGAUUAGGCGUUCCCUUCGGGGACGGAAUGACAGGUGGUGCAUGGUUGUCGUCAGCUCGUGUCGUGAGAUGUUGGGUUAAGUCCCGCAACGAGCGCAACCCUUAUUAUUAGUUGCCAGCAUUAAGUUGGGCACUCUAGUGAGACUGCCGGUGACAAACCGGAGGAAGGUGGGGACGACGUCAAAUCAUCAUGCCCCUUAUGACCUGGGCUACACACGUGCUACAAUGGACGGUACAACGAGUUGCGAGACCGCGAGGUUUAGCUAAUCUCUUAAAACCGUUCUCAGUUCGGACUGCAGGCUGCAACUCGCCUGCACGAAGUUGGAAUCGCUAGUAAUCGCGGAUCAGCAUGCCGCGGUGAAUACGUUCCCGGGCCUUGUACACACCGCCCGUCACACCAUGAGAGUUUGUAACACCCAAAGCCGGUGGAGUAACCUUCGGGAGCUAGCCGUCUAAGGUGGGACAGAUGAUUGGGGUGAAGUCGUACAAGACUACCG
rnacentral:rRNA from 1 species